AGAGUUUGAUCAUGGCCCAGAUUGAACGCUGGCGGUAUGCUUAACACAUGCAAGUCGAACGGUAACAGUCCCUCACCUAGAAAUUUCUUAAAAAGAGAUUUGUAGGUGAGGGAGCUGACGAGUGGCGGACGGGUGCGUAAUGUAUAGGAAUCUGCCUAGUAGUGGGGGACAACUCGGAGAAAUUCGAGCUAAUACCGCAUAAGCCCUCCGGGGGAAAACGGGGGAUCUUCGGACCUCGUGCUAUUAGAUGAGCCUAUAUUAGAUUAGCUUGUUGGUGAGGUAAUGGCUCACCAAGGCGACGAUCUAUAGCUGGUCUGAGAGGAUGAUCAGCCACACUGGGACUGAGACACGGCCCAGACUCCUACGGGAGGCAGCAGUGGGGAAUAUUGGACAAUGGGCGAAAGCCUGAUCCAGCAAUACCGCGUGUGUGAAGAAGGCCUGAGGGUUGUAAAGCACUUUCAAUUGGGAGGAAUACCUAAUAGUUAAUAGCUAUUAGAUUGAC
rnacentral:rRNA from 1 species